rnacentral:rRNA from 1 species
AUUGAACGCUGGCGGCAGGCCUAACACAUGCAAGUCGAGCGGAGAGGCGGACGGGUGAGUAAUGCCAAGGAAUCUGCCUGGUAGUGGGGGAUAACGUCCGGUAACGGGCGCUAAUACCGCAUCCUAUCAGAUGAGCCUAGGUCGGAUUAGCUUGUGGGGGGGGAAAAGGCAUACCAAGGCGACGAUCCGUAACUGGUCUGAGAGGAGGAUCAGUCACACGGGAACUGAGACACGGUCCAGACUCCUACGGGAGGCAGCAGUGGGGAAUAUGGGACAAUGGGCGAAAGCCUGAUCCAGCCAUGACGCGUGGAUGAAGAAGGUCUUCGGAGUGUAAAGCACUUUAAGUUGGGAGGCGGUACCAACAGAAUAAGCACCGGCUAACUUCGUGCCAGCAGCCGCGGUAAUAC